CCCGCCAUCGAUCCCGCCCGUUGCCGGGACCGGAAGUGCGUCACGGCACUUCCGGCGCGACGGCUCCAAGAUGGCGGCGCUGGCUCUGAGGGGUUUGGGGCGGCGCUGCCUCCUGGCCCGGCUGGGGCCCGGCCCCGCCCUGCACCAGGCUGUCCCCAUGGCCACCACGGCCCGCGAGGAGAUGAGGAGGUUCUGGGAGAGGAACGAGCGCUCGGGGCGGCCCCUGUCCCCCCACGUCAGCAUCUACAAGUGGUCGCUGCCCAUGGCCAUGUCCAUCACCCACCGCGGCACCGGCGUCGCCCUCAGCCUCGGUGUGUCCCUGUCCCCAGGUGUGUCCCCAGGUGUGUCCCUGAGUGUCCCCGCUGUCCCCAGGUGUGUCCCUGUCCCCAGGUGUGUCCCUGUUCUCGGUGGCCGCCCUGCUGCUCCCCGAGCCCUUCCCCCAUUACCUGGCCCAGGUGGGGGGGCUGAGCCUGGGCCCCGCCCUCGUCUGCUCGGCCAAGUUCCUGCUGGCCCUGCCCUUCUGCUACCACACCUGGAACGGCCUGCGCCACCUGGUGAGGGCCUCGGGCACCUGCAGGGGCCUCUGGGGACAGCAGGCCUGGGACCUGGGCAAGGGGCUGCGGCUGCCGCAGGUGACACAGUCGGGGCUGCUGGUGCUGGCCCUGACGCUGCUCUCCUCGGCCGGCCUGGCCGCGCUGUGACAGCGACAGCGACAGCGACAGCGACAGCCCCGGGGCGUCCCCCGCCAUCCCGGGAAUGGCGGGAAUGCCGCCCCCGCCCUGGGGAAGGUGACACCUCCCCUCCCCCUCCCCAAAAUCCCAGGAUGAGCAGAGCUGCCCCUCCCCCCAGCGGUGUCCCCAGCGGUGUCCCCCAGCGGUGUCCCCAGUGUCCCCACGUGUCCCCGAGGCCGGGACAAUGCGGGAUCUGUGUCCCCACGAGUGGGAUUGGCACCGGGGCGGGGAUCGCAGCGGGACAAGGAGCUCCAUUGAGGCAGCGCCCCACGGGGGUGGGUGACAGGUGACAUCUCGGUGCCACCCCGCUGCCACCCCGGGGCUCCUCAACGCCGUGGGAAUUCCAUGAUUCAGCUCAUUUCGGGGGUGAAAUCCCAGGUUUGGAGCCACCAAGGGCUGGGUGACAGGUGACAUCUCAGUGCCACCCCGCUGUCACCCUGGUGUCACCCCUGGUCUCCCCAACCCCGUGGGAAUUCCAUGAUUCAGCUCAUUUUGGGGUGAAAUCCCAAUUUUGGAGCCACCAUGGGGGCUGGGUGACAGGUGACAUCUCGGUGCCACCCCGCUGUCACCCCGGUGUCACCCCGGGGGUCCCAAACCCCGUGGGAAUUCCAUGUUCAGCCCAUUUUGGGGUGAAAUCCCAAUUUUGGAGCCUCCUGCCAGUGGGGAGGCAGCGCCCCACAGGGGUAAGUGACAGGUGACAUCUCGGUGCCACCCCGCUGUCACCCCGGUGUCACCCCGGGGGUCCCAAACCCCGUGGGAAUUCCAUGUUCAGCCCAUUUUGGGGUGAAAUCCCAAUUUUGGAGCCUCCUGCCAGUGGGGAGGCAGCGCCCCACAGGGGUAGGUGACAGGUGACAUCUCGGUGCCACCCCGCUGUCACCCUGCUGUCACCCCGGGGGUCCCCAACCCCGUGGGAAUUCCAUGUUCAGCUCAUUUUGGGGUGAAAUCCCAAUUUUGGAGCCUCCUGCCAGUGGGAACGUCCUGGUUUCGUGCUGGGGAGGGGAUUGUCACCCCAGGCGCUGUCACCCCAGGCGGUGUCACCCCAGGCGGUGUCACCCCAGGCGGUGUCACCCCAGGCGGUGUCACCCCAGGCGGUGUCACCUGUCCCCUGGGGAAUAAAGCAGCUCUGAUCCUCCA